rnacentral:lncRNA from 1 species
UCCAGCUCCAGGAUACUGGCACUCAGUGAAGGAAGGCCUCUGUUAUGCAACCCCUUAAACUCCCAGGCUUAAAACCAUUUUCACCCAGUGCCCUGAGCCUAGGCCUUGAGAACAGUAUCCAUAACCAAGGCAAACUGGCCACAUCCUGGGCAGAUGCCCUGCCAAGGAGGGCCACCAUUUCUUCUGUACCCCUGAGACCCUACUCUCCCAGCGUGCCUAGAGCUAGUGGGGGCGCCCGGCCUCACAAAUGCAGGUGAGAGAAGGCAGGCCUGCGAGGGCCCCACUCCAACAGGCGUCACCAGAACACAGCAGGACUCACAGAGGAGGCCCCCCGCCCUGAAGACUCCAUGAAGAAGCCUGCUUGAAACGACUCAACCCCUGACCUCAAGGGAGCUUCCUGAGCCCGGAGGCAGGGAAGGAAGCCCUGAGCAGAGCAUGGAGAGAAACAUGGAGAAGACCCUGAUUGUUAUUUUCCCAGCCCUUAGCCCAACCCUGAUUACUGGGCUCUCAUUAAAGCCCGAUUGAGGAUGAUGCCAAAUGCCGACAGAAUAACUUCAGAUGCCUUGGCUCCAAUGUUUCGACAUAGGGAUACACAUCAUAAAUUCC